rnacentral:rRNA from 1 species
UAGUCCACACCGUAAACGAUGAUUACUAAGCGUUCGAGGAGUUAACCCCUUGAGUGCUGCAGUUCACGCAUUAAGUAAUCCGCCUGGGGAGUACGGUCGCAAGGCUAAAACUCAAAGGAAUUGACGGGGGGCCCGCACAAGCGGUGGAGUAUGUGGUUUAAUUCGAAGCAACGCGCAGAACCUUACCUGGCCUUGACAUCCUGAGCCAACUCUAGAGAUAGAGCUUUCUCUUCGGAGACUCAGUGACAGAUGCUGCAUGGCUGUCGUCAGCUCGUGUUGUGAAAUGUUCGGUUAAGUCCGGCAACGAGCGCAACCCCUAUCCUUAGUUACCAUCAUUAAGUUGGGGACUCUAGGGAGACUGCCGGUGUCAAACCGGAGGAAGGCGGGGAUGACGUCAAGGUCCUCAUGGGCUCGUUACGGCCAGGGGCUACACACGUACUACAAUGGUAGAAACAGACGGUU